GGGAAAGGCAUAGGCUGUGGGAUGGCAUCACUGAGCGCUUCCAAACUCCCUGAACUCUCCUGCUUGUCCUUCAUUUUGCCAGUUUUAGUAGGUGAGGGUGGACCUCCUCUUAAGAUGAGCAGUGGUACCUCUGCUCCUAUUGGAAACUGCUUCAGUACCUCCACGACCUGCAGAUGUGUCAAGCUCUGUACGUUCUGAUGGCAGAUCUCCUUGAUUACAUCCCCUUUCUG
rnacentral:lncRNA from 1 species